AUGGGGCUCGGGCAUACGCCACAGCUGGGAGGAGCCCCGCAAGCAGGCGUCCCUUCUGCAUCCCGGGCGCUAGGACCCUCCGCGCCUGCCAGGGCGCGCAUCCUCCCGAACCGGCCCCCGCAGGCCUCGGCCCCUUUAAGACGGCCUUGGAGGACCGGGUUUCAGAGCCUCCGGCGACUCUCUGGCCGCCGCCUCGGUGGUGCGUCGUCACUUCCGGCCGGAAGUGCGUGUGCGGAGCGGCUUCCGCGCCGGGGGGCGGGGAGCGGGCGGCGGCGCGGGGCUCCGCGUGUCGGGCGCGGGGUGACUGGCUCCAGCCUGGGCCGCGGGGGCCGCGACGGGGGAGGCGCCUCUGUCCCCAGGGUCAGCUCCGGUCCCCGGCGAUGGGGCGCAGGCGGGCUGCGGCGGCCCUUCCCCGCAGGUGAGUUCGCUGGGAGAUCUGUGUGCGGGCUGAACGCGUGCUGGUGUCUUUGCUGCCUGGUCCCGGGAACCUGGAGUGUCGUUGUUGGGGGCUUAGAACUUCCUAGGUUUCUUUGCUUUCAUUUACUCAACCUGUAACUUCUGAAGCCUGACCUGCGCAAGACCCUGUUUUGUGUGGAUGUAAAUAAAAGGGUUCAGUCCCCAAGGAGACUUUUCCUG
rnacentral:lncRNA from 1 species